rnacentral:rRNA from 1 species
UACGUAGGAGGCGAGCGUUGUCCGGAGUUACUGGGCGUAAAGGGUGUGUAGGCGGUUCUUUAAGUUUGCUGUGAAAUCUCCCGGCUUAACCGGGAGGGUGCGGUGAAUACUGAGGGACUAGAGUACGGGAGAGGAAAGUGGAAUUCCUGGUGUAGCGGUGAAAUGCGCAGAUAUCAGGAAGAACACCCGUGGCUAAGGCGGCUCUCUAGUACGGUACUGACGCUGAGACGCGAAAGCGUGGGGAGCGAACAGG